GAAAAAGAGAGUUGGAUUUCUUAAUAAGUUACGAGGAUCUAACUGUUAAAAUGUGUCUAGUUUUAAAAUAUUUGUUAUGUCAGCAUUUAGGCUGUACUUAAUGUUGUGUGUAUGUGUUUGUGUGUUCCAAGGGAACUCUUGGUGACAUAACGGGGCAAAGACCACACUUUGGACGGUACUUCUAACAAACUGCUGGGAUCAUGGUACCUAUGAGGACAACACACACUGCUGGGAUCAUGAUUCCUGCAGCAGUGUGUGUGUGUGUGUGUGUGUGUGUGUGUGUGUGUGUGUGUGUGUGUGUGUGUGUGUGUGUGUGUGUGUGUGUGUGUGUGUGUGUGUGUGUGUGUGUGUGUGUUGUCCUCAUAGCGAUCAUGGAAGCAGCAGUGUGUGGUGGGUUCGCUGUAAAAUGGCGGGUAGGUCCAGUGUGUGGUGGGGUCGAUGUAAAAUGGCGGGUAGGUCCAGUGUGUGGUGGGGUCGCUGUAAAAUGGCAGGUAGGUCCAGUGUGUGGUGGGGUUGAUGUGAAAUGGUGGGUAUGUCCCGUGUGUGGUGGGGUUGCUGUGAAACGGCAGGUAGGUCCAGUGUGUUGUGGGGUUGCUGUAAAAUGGCGGGUAGGUCCAGUGUGUGGUGGGGUCGCGGUAAAAUGGUGGGUAGGUCCAGUGUGUGGUGGGAUUGAUGUGAAACGGCAGGGAGGUCCAGUGUAAGAUGCAGUCAGUAUAAAGUUUAA
rnacentral:lncRNA from 1 species